GGGCCCGCACAAGCGGUGGAGUAUGUGGUUUAAUUCGAUGCAACGCGAAGAACCUUACCAGGGUUUGACAUCCUGCGAAUCUCUUGGAAACGAGAGAGUGCCUUCGGGAACGCAGUGACAGGUGGUGCAUGGCUGUCGUCAGCUCGUGUCGUGAGAUGUUGGGUUAAGUCCCGCAACGAGCGCAACCCACGUCGUUAGUUGCCAGCAUUUUAGUUGGGCACUCUAGAGAGACCGCCGGUGAUAAAACCCGGAGGAAGGUGUGGAUGACGUCAAGUCAUCAUGCCCCCUUACAUCCUGGGCUACACACGUACUACAAUGGCUACGGACAAAAGGGGCAGCAAACUCGCGAGAGCUAGCAAAUCCCAUAAACGUGGCUC
rnacentral:rRNA from 1 species